CCUGUGUGUUCCAAGUUUGUCUCGUCAGAUGAAAUGGACCUGCACCUUGUCAUGUGUUUAACCAAACCCAGAGUGACGUACAACGGACUUGCCUUACCUGCCUCUACCCCCUUACCUGCCUCCACCCUCUUACCUGCCUCCACCCGGGUUGCAUGGUGCCUGCUGCUCAGUGGAGACUGCUGUGCCUGCUGCUCAGUGUAGACUGCUGUGCCUGCUGCUCAGUGGAGACUGCAUGGUACCUGCUGCUCAGUGGAGACUGCAUGGUGCCUGCUGCUCAGUGGAGACUGCUGUGCCUGCUGCUCAGUGGAGACUGCAUGAUGCCUGUUGCUCAGUGGAGACUGCAUGGUGCCUGCUGCUCAGUGGAGACUGCUGUGCCUGCUGCUCAGUGGAGACUGCUGUGCCUGCUGCUCAGUGUAGACUGCAUGGUGCCUGCUGCUCAGUGGAGACUGCAUGGUACUUGCUGCUCAGUGGAGACUGCAUGGUGCCUGCUGCUCAGUGGAGACUGCAUGGUGCCUGCUGCUCAGUGGAGACUGCUGUGCCUGCUGCUCAGUGGAGACUGCAUGGUGCCUGCUGCUCAGUGGAGACUGCAUGGUGCCUGCUGCUCAGUGGAGACUGCUGUGCCUGCUGCUCAGUUGAGACUGCAUGGUGCCUGCUGCUCAGUGGAGACUGCAUGGUGCCUGCUGCUCAGUGGAGACUGCUGUGCCUGCUGCUCAGUGGAGACUGCAUGGUGCCUGCUGCUCAGUGGAGACUGCUGUGCCUGCUGCUCAGUGGAGACUGCAUGGUGCCUGCUGCUCAGUGGAGACUGCUGUGCCUGCUGCUCAGUGGAGACUGCUGUGCCUGUAUGAUGUUGCUCUGGUGCCGUCCUACUGGAAACAUGCUGUGGUAGGAUGUGCUGAGCAAGGACGCAGGGGAGUGUUCCAUCUGCCUGGAGGAUCUGGUCCAGGGGGACACC